ACGCGACCCCAGGUCAGGCGGGGCUACCCGCUGAGUUUAAGCAUAUCAAUAAGCGG
rnacentral:rRNA from 1 species